UAGGGAAUCUUCGGCAAUGGACGAAAGUCUGACCGAGCAACGCCGCGCGAGUGAAGAAGGUUUUCGGAUCGUAAAACUCUGUUGUUAGAGAAGAACAAGGACGUUAGUAACUGAACGUCCCCUGACGGUAUCUAACCAGAAAGCCACGGCUAACUACGUGCCAGCAGCCGCGGUAAUACGUAGGUGGCAAGCGUUGUCCGGAUUUAUUGGGCGUAAAGCGAGCGCAGGCGGUUUCUUAAGUCUGAUGGGAAAGGCCCCGGCUCAACCGGGGAGGGUCAUUGGAAACUGGGAGACUUGAGUGCAGAAGAGGAGGGUGGAAUUCCAUGUGUAGCGGUGAAAUGCGUAGAUAUAUGGAGGAACACCAGUGGCGAAGGCGGCUGUCUGGUCUGUAACUGACGCUGAGGCUCGAAAGCGUGGGGAGCAAACAGG
rnacentral:rRNA from 1 species